GAUGAACGCUGGCGGCGUGCCUAAUACAUGCAAGUCGAGCGAACGGACGAUAAGCUUGCUUCUCUGAUGUUAGCGGCGGACGGGUGAGUAACACGUGGAUAACCUACCUAUAAGACUGGGAUAACUUCGGGAAACCGGAGCUAAUACCGGAUGAUACUUUGAACCGCAUGGUUCAAAAAUGAAAGACGGUCUUGCUGUCACUUAUAGAUGGAUCCGCGCUGCAUUAGCUAGUUGGUAAGGUAACGGCUUACCAAGGCAACGAUGCAUAGCCGACCUGAGAGGGUGAUCGGCCACACUGGAACUGAGACACGGUCCAGACUCCUACGGGAGGCAGCAGUAGGGAAUCUUCCGCAAUGGGCGAAAGCCUGACGGAGCAACGCCGCGUGAGUGAUGAAGGUCUUCGGAUCGUAAAACUCUGUUAUUAGGGAAGAACAUAUGUGUAAGUAACUGUGCACAUCUUGACGGUACCUAAUCAGAAAGCCACGGCUAACUACGUG
rnacentral:rRNA from 1 species